rnacentral:rRNA from 1 species
GAUGAACGCUGGCGGCGUGCCUAACACAUGCCAGUCGAGCGAACGGACGAGAAGCUUGCUUCUCUGAUGUUAGCGGCGGACGGGUGAGUAACACGUGGAUAACCUACCUAUAAGACGGGGAUAACUACGGGAAACCGGAGCUAAUACCGGAUGAUAUUUUGAACCGCAUGGUUCAAAAGUGAAGGACGGCCUUGCUGUCACUUAUAGAUGGAUCCGCGCUGCAUUAGCUAGUUGGUAAGGUAACGGCUUACCAAGGCAACGAUGCAUAGCCGACCUGAGAGGGUGAUCGGCCACACUGGAACUGAGACACGGUCCAGACUCCUACGGGAGGCAGCAGUAGGGAAUCUUCGGCAAUGGGCGAAAGCCUGACGCAGCAACGCCGCGUGAGUGAUGAAGGUCUUCGGAUCGUAAAGCUCUGUUAUUGGGGAAGAACAUAUGUGUAAGUAACUGUGCACAUCUUGACGGUACCUAAUCAAAAAGCCCCGGCUAACUACGUG